rnacentral:rRNA from 1 species
GUGGGGAAUAUUGGACAAUGGGCGAAAGCCUGAUCCAGCCAUGCCGCGUGUGUGAAGAAGGUCUUCGGAUUGUAAAGCACUUUAAGUUGGGAGGAAGGGUAGUAACCUAAUACGUUGCUACUUUGACGUUACCGACAGAAUAAGCACCGGCUAACUUCGUGCCAGCAGCCGCGGUAAUACGAAGGGUGCAAGCGUUAAUCGGAAUUACUGGGCGUAAAGCGCGCGUAGGUGGUUUUGUAAGUUGGAGGUGAAAUCCCCGGGCUCAACCUGGGAACUGCCUCCAAAACUGCAUGACUAGAGUACGGUAGAGGGUAGUGGAAUUUCCUGUGUAGCGGUGAAAUGCGUAGAUAUAGGAAGGAACACCAGUGGCGAAGGCGACCACCUGGACUGAUACUGACACUGAGGUGCGAAAGCGUGGGGAGCAAACAGGAUUAGAUACCCGAGUAGUCC